rnacentral:rRNA from 1 species
GACGAACGCUGGCGGCGUGCUUAACACAUGCAAGUCGAACGGAAAGGCCCUGCUUUUGUGGGGUGCUCGAGUGGCGAACGGGUGAGUAACACGUGAGUAACCUGCCCUUGACUUUGGGAUAACUUCAGGAAACUGGGGCUAAUACCGGAUAGGAGCUCCUGCUGCAUGGUGGGGGUUGGAAAGUUUCGGCGGUUGGGGAUGGACUCGCGGCUUAUCAGCUUGUUGGUGGGGUAGUGGCUUACCAAGGCUUUGACGGGUAGCCGGCCUGAGAGGGUGACCGGCCACAUUGGGACUGAGAUACGGCCCAGACUCCUACGGGAGGCAGCAGUGGGGAAUAUUGCACAAAGGGCGGAAGCCUGAUGCAGCAACGCCGCGUGCGGGAUGACGGCCUUCGGGUUGUAAACCGCUUUUGUUCGGGAAGAAAUCCUCUGGGCUAAUACCCCGGGGGGAUGACGGUACCGGAAGAAUAAGCACCGGCUAACUACGUG